UACGUAGGGGGCAAGCGUUAUCCGGAUUUAUUGGGUUUAAAGGGUGCGUAGGCGGACGCUUAAGUCGGCGGUAAAAUUGCGGGGCUCAACCUCGUCGAGCCGUUGAAACUGGGUGCCUUGAGUGGGCGAGAAGUACGCGGAAUGCGUGGUGUAGCGGUGAAAUGCAUAGAUAUCACGCAGAACUCCGAUUGCGAAGGCAGCGUACCGGCGCCCUACUGACGCUGAAGCACGAAGGCGUGGGUAUCGAACAGG
rnacentral:rRNA from 1 species